ACAUGCUCCUGUAGCCAAAGCGAGAUUUUAAGAUAUUUAGCGUCAACUUGUCGCGUUUUUAACCGUAUUUGUAAAAUCACGACAAUGCACAGAGAAAUUAGACCUUUUAUUUUUGUCAGACAAGGAUAUGUACAGUGAUCUAGUUUGGAACACAUGUAUAAUUGUAGAAUUCGACAUACUGAUUAAUACAGAUAGAAAAAAUAAUGGUACUCGUUGCAAUACAUGGGAACACAAGUGGCAAAUUAUUUCACUGUGUAAUAUACUAGCCCAAAUUUCUCGUUUCUAUGGGCAAGUUCUCGAUCCAACCAAUCAUACGAAUGAAAUAUAGACAUAUAUCUACUUCAUGGUUACUAUACAUUAAUACGCGUGUCUUGUACUUCGUAGGACCGCUUAAAAUCAUUGAAUGGUGGGCACUGAGAUCUCUCUGGAUCUCCCGUCUUCCUCCGAUGGGUGAAAUAUAUAAAAAAAAAUCAGGCCAGAAUGAUCUAGGUUUGGUACAUGACACACGCCUAUCCUCAACUGACACAAACGACUAUUUGAAGAAAAAAAAAUCUUGAUAAAGUGUCGGAUAGGCUCAACAUCAGACUAUGGAUAUACAAUGUACAUUGCAUUGCUGCCAGAAAAAUGCGCAUUUAAAAACUAAACUACUAUAAGGAUUGGCUUCGACUGGCAAACAAUGUCCGUUGGGAAAAUUGUAUUCAACAGGAAAAUUGUGUAAUUGUUCCACGAUGACAGACCAAAAAAAAAUCAAGUUAUUUGGUUUGGAACCACUCUAUGGCAGGAAGGACUAGUACAAACGACGGACUGGUUUUGGGACGGACCAACUAUAGGGGCCGGACGGGAGAGUCUUAUCGACUUUGGUCGAUCGGUCAUAUAUACUAUAAGCUCAGGGGCUUGGGUGUUAAAAUAGUAUCAAUUUUUGCUAUCAAAACUGCGUUUUCCCCUCGAUGAACGAUAAUUUGUGUUCCUUGUAACAGCACGUAGCUCCUAAUAAUAUACGUUAUUUGAGGCUAUUUCCCCUCGAGGUGCCCCAAACGUCAAACAUAUUUUGAUCAAUGAAAAUACUGCUCGCCAGUGAGAAAAUCGCCUGAUUAGUCUAACCAUUCUACGCAAAAUAGAGCUGAACAUCAAACAAAUUGCAAAAGAAACUUUUUAUUCAUAAUCAUAAUCUUUAUUUAGUGGUUAAACACAUAUGCAAAUUCGAAACCAAAGAACAAAUGGGAAAGGUCAAUUUUGAGGGGUCAAAGGUCACAAUAUAGAUAUUGCACGGGUUUUCACAGAGCCAAGUCAGUAUUCCCGCCACCGUCAAGCAAGAAGGACCUAUCGUUUCGGUCCAUGACGGGGCGGACGUCUGUCAAUGGUACUGGAUGGACAUUAGGCCCUGCCGUCCUGAGGCCAAUGUCAAAGCCAACUGACCCCAGACCUUCAGGACUGUCCACAGGCAAAAGGACAAGAUCCUGGUCAGGAUAGGUGGUACUCCUAGCUCUGGUUGGGUGAUCUGGUGCUGGUGGUAUCUGGAGCUCAAUAGAUCUAUUUCAGUUCAGCACAACUUUCUCGUUUCUUUUGCGGUAGUUUUUAAGCCAGGAAAUAUCAUUGAUGAGGAGCUAGUGCCUCUUCAGCUGCAUGUUAGGGAAAGUCAUGAUCCCCUCCAUGAUGGACCCUAAGGGGGGCAUGUGGCUGUUUAGGUUCUAGUUACUUUAUCACUGAUAUUUCGGGGUUAAAUUCUGUUGUAAUCGGGGCGGGUAAGUGUAGUUGUUCUGCAAUAAGUCUCUUGUAGUAAAAGAUACUCCGGUGUUGGAAAGUCUGAUUGGGGUGAAGGGUCAACUUAUUCUGUCUGACAGAAAAGCAAGCCCCUCGGUCAAGGGAGAACCGGGGGACGUGCCUAGAGGUGGCAUCAGGAGCCCUGCCAGGUCUCGGAAAGCUGACUGUGCUCACACUAGCGGGAGCAGUGUAGAGCCAGUCAUCAAAAGGGCCUUUGUCAACAAGGCGAUAAAGGCCCUAAGGAUGGACAGAGUGGCAGUAAUCUGUUUAUUCCAUAAAGCUGUGGUUGCCUGGAUCUAAGCCAUCAGGCUGAUGGAUAGGUCCAGAGCAAGCCCAAUUAGCACCUGGAUGUGGUGCUGGAGCCCCUGUCGGUCUCCGAAAGCUAACUGCUUUGCACACUUGAUAUUCAGUGUGGGGCAGUCCAAUAGGAUCAGGUCACCAAGAUCCUACGGGUGGGACAUAGUGGCAGGACUAUGUCUCCGUAGAGCAGGGCAUGUCCAUAUGGCAAGUAAGAUGCGCGAGAUCCACGCUUUGGCUGCAUCACAAGCAUGAGUGCCAUGUCCUUCAGGGGAAUGUCUAACGUCAGGACAUUCACCGGGUCAGGGUUUUAAAGCGAGCGUGAUCUAGCUCUGGAUAGAUGAAUUAGCAAUGGGGGUCUUAGGAAUCUCAAGAUGGUUCAUUCAUUUCUCAAUUCGUUCCGUCACUUCCUUCACAAUGUUUAACUCAUGGCACAGACAUGAAUCUGGUACAAGUUAAGCAAUACAGCGUCAUGAUUGGAGUGCCAGGUCUGUGUGGUCCAGGCCUGGUAAUCCAAUGGACCACCAUGUGUCAGACUGUUAUUGCUUGUAAAUCUUGUAUUGGGUGAUUGUUUGUGUCUUGGGUUAAAUACUUGGGAAGGAACGGACAGAUCUAGUUGAGACUUGAACAAGUCAUCUUGUGAUUUCUGAUAUCUCUAUUGGUUUGAAGUCUAUGUGGAGUCAAGGUUGCGUAAACUUGAAGAAUCCUGGCUAUAAGGAUGGACUGCCAUGCCCCACCAAACCCCAGACGGGAUCGGACGGGAACGGACGGGAACGGACGGGAUCAGACGGGGUCGGACGGGACCCAGACCAUCUUUUUCUUUUUUUUCCCUUUUUUUCUGUUUCAGGUGGUUCUUUUGAGGAGGCCUCCCCGUGGCAGAACUGGUAACAGCUUAAAGUAUUUAUCUACAAAUAAGCCCAUGCCUAAAAAUUUGCCAUUCCCCCUCCAAAUCAUUUUUGCAGAAUCAUUGAUCUUGCCUAAAAAUAAGUCCUCCCCAAAUUUUGAUACUAAACUUAAAUGCUAGGGCAAGGGAUUUAUUCAAGAUAAAUACGAUACACAUAAAUGUAUGUUUAUGUGGGCUGGCUAACAUCCUCAUUCUGUACAUGUCUCCCCUUGAAAGUAUGGAAAUAUUUUGUAUUUGUACCGGUCUUUUCAACAAUUUUUUGUCUGGGUAAUUACUUCCAAAUCGUAUAUAUCUUGGCAGAACUAGCUGCUAGCUAGGUCACUGUGACCUUGAUACAAGGUCAAAUAAGUGAAUUUUUUCAACAGUUUCUUGUCCAGCAAGGCUGUAUCUUUUAAAACAAAUAAACCGUUGCAGAAAUCUUAACAAAAAUUAUGCUGUACACCAAUGAAGAACGGCUUUCUUUCUGCAGAUGAUUUACAUAUUUAUCAUCUUUUAAUUUUUUGUAUGCAUGAUUUUCAUGAUAUAUAGUUGAUUUCCAGAAAGGAAUUUUAAUUCAACAUUUAAAAAAAAAAUUGCAAAAGUUAUUGCCCAUUGUUUAUUACAGGCACCUAGCUGCUUCAUUUUGGGACCAAUUUCCUUAAAACUUUGUAGGCUUUAUAAUCAUGAUAUACUUGCAUAGACCAUUUUGAUUUGACUAUUUUUGCAAAAGUUAUUGCCCUUUGUUUAUUUUUUGUACUUUGAUCUUGCUCCAGCCUAUGGUACUUUAGUUUCAAUAAUUUCUUGUUUGGACAAUAACUUCUCAGUAACUUUUAAUAGCCCUGUAAUCUUCCAUAAACUGAUCAAGGCUGAUAAUAAAUUAGGGGAGACAUGUUCUUUCUUCACAAACCUCUAUUCCCAUUUUUGCAUGCUCUCACAAUUUCUAGCAAAACAUGUAUGCUAGCAUUUGAAAUGUUCCUUGUUAAUAAACAGAUUGGAAAACAAC